rnacentral:rRNA from 1 species
GAGCGUGUGGAGGACCGAACCCACCUAGGUUGAAAACUGGGGGGAUGAGCUGUGGGUAGGGGUGAAAGGCCAAUCAAACUCCGUGAUAGCUGGUUCUCCCCGAAAUGCAUUUAGGUGCAGCGUUGCGUGGUUGUUGUUGGUGGUAGAGCGACUGGUUGGUUGAUGCGGGACGAUCAUCUUAGCGAUGCCAGCUAAACUCCGAAUGCCAAUAAUAUGCGAGCGUGGCAGUGAGACGGCGGGGGAUAAGCUCCGUGACGUCGAGAGGGAAACAGCCCAGAUCGUCGGUUAAGGCCCCUAAGGGUGUGCUGAGUGGAAAAGGAGGUGUCAUCGCGAAGACAGCCAGGAGGUUGGCUUAGAAGCAGCCAUCCUUGAAAGAGUGCGUAAUAGCUCACUGGUUAAGUGGUGAUGCGCCGAUAAUGUAGUGGGGCUAAAGUACACCGCCGAAACCGCGGCAACACACGUGUGUGUGUUGGGUAGGGGAGCGUCGUGCAUGCUGGGAAGCUGUCAUGUAAAUGGUGGUGGAGUGUGUGCGAGUGAGAAUGCAGGCAUGAGUAGCGAAAAACAUGUGGAAAACGUGUUCGCCGGAUGACUAAGGGUUCCUGGGUGAAGCUAAUCUUCCCAGGGUGAGUCGGGACCUAAGGCGAGGCCGACAGGCGUAGUCGAUGGAUAACGGGUUGAUAGUCCCGUACCCGUGUAUACGCGACCAGUGGUGACUCGGUUGUACUAACCACCCACUACCGCGGGAUCAAUGCUUUUGGUGUUGGUUUGGUGUGUGGUGCGUGGGAUCUUGAUCGUUGGUAGCCAAGCGAUGGGGUGACACAGAUUGGUAGUCAAGGCCACUGAGUGGAUUGUGGUGUAAGCGUGUGGCCCGCAGGAUAGGUAAAUCCGUUCUGCAUAUAGGGUGAGGCGUGAUGCGUACCCAGGUUUGGGGAUGUUUGAUGUGCCUGUGCUGUCGAGAAAAGCCUCUAGCGAUGUGUGUGCACGGCCCGUACCGGAAACCGACACAGGUGGUCUGGUUGAGGAUACUAAGGCGUUCGGGUGAACUAUGGUUAAGGAACUCGGCAAAAUGCCCCCGUAACUUCGGGAGAAGGGGGGCCAUGUGCGGCAAUCACCCUGUGCGGUGUGCGUUGUGUGUGGCCGCAGAGAAGUGAGGGAAGCGACUGUUUAUUAAAAACACAGGUCCGUGCGAAGACGUUGCAAGUCGAGGUAUACGGACUGACGCCUGCCCGGUGCUGGAAGGUUAAGAGGACUCGUGAGCACAUCCUGGUGGUGUGUGAGGCGGGUAAUUGAAGCCCCAGUAAACGGCGGUGGUAACUAUAACCAUCCUAAGGUAGCGAAAUUCCUUGUCGGGUAAGUUCCGACCUGCACGAAUGGCGUAACGACUUCCCUGCUGUCUCAACCAUAGGCCCGGUGAAAUUGCAGUACGAGUAAAGAUGCUCGUUUCGCGCGGCAGGACGAAAAGACCCCGGGACCUUUACUAUAGCUUGGUAUUGGUGUGUGCUGCAGCUUGUGUAGGAUAGGUGGGAGACUGGGAAGCAUUCACGCUAGUGGGUGUGGAGUCGAUUGGUGAAAUACCACUCUGGUUGUUGUGUGCAUCUAACUGUGGGCCCUGAUCGGGUUUUGGGACAGUGCCUGGUGGGUAGUUUAACUGGGGCGGUUGCCUCCUAAAUGGUAACGGAGGCGCCCAAAGGUUCCCUCGGCUUGGUUGGUAAUCAGGUUUGUAGAGUGUAAGUGCAUUAAGGGAGCUUGACUGUGACACUGACGGGUGGAGCAGGUGCGAAAGCAGGGACUAGUGAUCCGGCAUCAACGUGUGGGUGUGGUGUCGCUCAACGGAUAAAAGGUACCCCGGGGAUAACAGGCUGAUCUUCCCCAAGAGUUCAUAUCGACGGGAUGGUUUGGCACCUCGAUGUCGGCUCGUCGCAUCCUGGGGCUGGAGUAGGUCCCAAGGGUUGGGCUGUUCGCCCAUUAAAGCGGCACGCGAGCUGGGUUUAGAACGUCGUGAGACAGUUCGGUCUCUAUCCGCCGCGCGCGUGGAAACUUGAACAAGGCUGUCCCUAGUACGAGAGGACCGGGAUGGACGUACCUCUAGUGUGCCAGUUGUCACGCCGGUGGCAUGGCUGGUUGGCUAUGUGCGGGAGGGAUAACCGCUGAAAGCAUCUAAGCGGGAAGCCUGUUGUGAGAUGAGGUUUCU